CGAAAUAUUUCAUCACCUCGACCUAGUCUUCCCUCGAUUUUAAUUGAUAGAUUCUCAUUGCCUCGCAAUCACCACGCAUCAUAGUUUUCUUGAUCCCCAAAUUACAAACAUAACCUAACGUACCACGUCGUCACCGAUAGGCUAGAAAAAUAAAAUUGCAGAUUAUCAGAAGAAUGUCAUAGAAUAGCCAUCUGUAUGCCUGAACAGAAAAAUAUACAUGUUGACCAAAUUGGAAAUAGAGGAAAAACAAAUGCAAAACUUACUUUGUUGCUGGUGUCUGGUUUGCUGUUUGGCGUCUUUGACUGUCCAGCGGAAUCACUUGCAGGAACAAAGGCUAUACCUCCUUUAAACAUUCCCGGCUCAAAUCCAACAGGACCAUGCCUUGGUCCUGAAAUUCCUGGAAGGGAUGCAGAGUUGUCGGAAAAGUAUUCAGUCUUUACAGGAUGAGUAGUGGAGCUCUGUGACAAAGAGGAAUUUGUAGAACCACCAGGUGGGGCAGCAAGGAGAUUUGGUUCAUCCUGGAACAAAUACACACAACAACAACUUCUACAGUCACAAGUUCAAGGUUGUCAUCUGCAGAUAAAACCUCUGGCUCCCGAUGCAACAUCAGAGGUGAUGUUGCUUUACGCUUCAUACUGGGCUCUUCAUCAAUAAAUACAGGCCCAAGGUCAACCUCUUCUUGUACCUCAACUUCAGAUUUAACCUGUAAUAUAAUUUUGUGUGAUAGGCAGAGUAAAAUAGUACAGUAACAAAAUUAGA